UUUUGUAGAACGGGCCAACGAGUUACGUUAAGUAGCAAGGUUAAGCACUUAAGGUGCGGAGCCGUAGCGAAAGCGAGUUUUAACUGAGCGUUCAGUUACUUGACGUAGACCCGAAACCGGGCGACCUACCCAUGAGCAGGAUGAAGCGAAAGUAAAAUUUCGUGGAGGUCCGAACCCACGAGCGUUGAAAAGCUCGGGGAUGACUUGUGGGUAGCGGUGAAAUUCCAAUCGAGCCCGGAGAUAGCUGGUUCUCCCCGAAAUAGCUUUAGGGCUAGCCUCAAGGUGAGAGAUACGGAGGUAGAGCACUGAAUGUCCUAGGGGGUAUUGCACCUACCGAAGACUAUCAAACUCCGAAUGCCGUCAUCUUAUACUUGGGAGUCAGACUGUGGGUGAUAAGAUUCAUAGUCGAAAGGGCAACAGCCCAGAUCGUCAGCUAAGGUCCCUAAAUGUAAGUUAAGUGGUAAAGGAUGUGGGAUUGCACAGACAACCAGGAUGUUGGCUUAGAAGCAGCCACUCAUUCAAAGAGUGCGUAAUAGCUCACUGGUCGAGUGAUCCUGCGCCGAAGAUUUCCGGGGCUAAAACUUACUACCGAAGCUACGGCAUCAGUAAUGAUGGGUAGGGGAGCUUCCCAUACGGGUUGAAGCAUGACCGUAAGGACAUGUGGACAGUAUGGGAGUGAGAAUGUUGGCAUGAGUAGCGAGAUGUGGGUGAGAAUCCCACAGGCCGUAAACCCAAGGUUUCCAGGGGAAGGUUCGUCCGCCCUGGGUUAGUCGGGACCUAAGCUGAGGCCGAAAGGCGUAGGUGAUGGACAACAGGUUGAUAUUCCUGUACUACCGAUAACCGUUUGAGAGAAGGGAUGACACAGUAGGAUAAGCUAAGCACACUGUUGGUUAUGUGUGCCCAAGCAUUGAGGCAGUCAAAGUAGGCAAAUCCGCUUUGAUAAUGCUGGGGUGUGAUGGGGAGCGAAAUUUAGUAGCGAAGUAGCUGAUUUCACACUGUCAAGAAAAGUCUCUAUCGAGGUUAAAGGUACCCGUACCGCAAACCGACACAGGUGGGUGAGGAGAGUAUCCUAAGGCCAGCGAGAGAACUGUUGUUAAGGAACUCGGCAAAAUGACCCCGUAACUUAGGGAGAAGGGGUGCCACCAUCAGGUGGCCGCAGAGAAUAGGCCCAAGCGACUGUUUACCAAAAACAUAGGUUUCUGCUAAGUCGCAAGACGAUGUAUAGGAGCUGACGCCUGCCCGGUGCUGGAAGGUUAAGGGGAUCUGUUAGAGCAAUCGAAGCAGUGAACUUAAGCCCCAGUAAACGGCGGCCGUAACUAUAACGGUCCUAAGGUAGCGAAAUUCCUUGUCGGGUAAGUUCCGACCCGCACGAAAGGCGUAACGAUUUGGGCACUGUCUCAACAACAGACUCGGUGAAAUUGUAAUUCCGGUGAAGAUGCCGGAUACCUGCGACAGGACGGAAAGACCCCAUGGAGCUUUACUGUAGCUUGACAUUGGGUCUUGGUACUACAUGUACAGGAUAGGUGGGAGGCUUUGAAACCAGGACGACAGUUUUGGCGGAGCCAUCCUUGGGAUACCACCCUUGUAGUACUGGGACUCUAACCAUAGGCCAUGAAUCUGGUCUUGGGACACUGUCAGGUGGGCAGUUUGACUGGGGCGGUCGCCUCCCAAAAGGUAACGGAGGCGC
rnacentral:rRNA from 1 species